rnacentral:rRNA from 1 species
CCUACGGGGGGCAGCAGUGGGGAAUAUUGCACAAUGGGGGGAACCCUGAUGCAGCGACGCCGCGUGGGUGAAGGAGUAUUUCGGUAUGUAAAGCCCUAUCAGCAGGGAAGAACAAUGACGGUACCUGACUAAGAAGCACCGGCUAAAUACGUGCCAGCAGCCGCGGUAAUACGUAUGGUGCAAGCGUUAUCCGGAUUUACUGGGUGUAAAGGGAGCGUAGGCGGUUUAGCAAGUCAGAAGUGAAAGCCCGGGGCUCAACUCCGGGACUGCUUUUGAAACUGUUGAACUAGAUUGCAGGAGAGGUA